rnacentral:rRNA from 1 species
GAUGAACGCUGGCGGCGUGCCUAAUACAUGCAAGUCGAGCGAACGGACGAGAAGCUUGCUUCUCUGAUGUUAGCGGCGGACGGGUGAGUAACACGUGGAUAACCUACCUAUAAGACUGGGAUAACUUCGGGAAACCGGAGCUAAUACCGGAUGAUAUUUUGAACCGCAUGGUUCAAAAGUGAAAGACGGUCUUGCUGUCACUUAUAGAUGGAUCCGCGCUGCAUUAGCUAGUUGGUAAGGUAACGGCCUACCAAGGCAACGAUGCAUAGCUGACCUGAGAGGAUGAUCGGCCACACUGGAACUGAGACACGGUCCAGACUCCUACGGGAGGCAGCAGUGGGGAAUAUUCGGCAAUGGGCGAAAGCCUGACGGAGCAACGCCGCGUGAGUGAUGAAGGCCUUCGGAUCGUAAAACUCUGUUAUUAGGGAAGAACAUAUGUGUAAGUAACUGUGCACAUCUUGACGGUACCUAAUCAGAAAGCCACGGCUAACUACGUG